rnacentral:rRNA from 1 species
UUCCGGUUGAUCCUGCCGGAGGUUACUGCUAUCGGUGUUCGACUAAGCCAUGCAAGUCAUAUGUUCCUCGUGAACAUGGCAUACUGCUCAGUAACACGUGGAUAACCUGCCCUUGGGUCUGGGAUAACCCCGGGAAACUGGGGAUAAUAUCGGAUAACGCAUAUGUGCUGGAAUGCUUUAUGCGUAAAACGGAUUCGUCCGCCCAAGGAUGGGUCUGCGGCCUAUCAGGUAGUAGUGGGUGUAAUGUACCUACUAGCCAACAACGGGUACGGGUUGUGAGAGCAAGAGCCCGGAGAUGGAUUCUGAGACAUGAAUCCAGGCCCUACGGGGCGCAGCAGGCGCGAAAACUUUACAAUGCGGGAAACCGUGAUAAGGGAACACCGAGUGCCAGCAUCAUAUGCUGGCUGUCCAGAUGUGUAAACUACAUCUGUUAGCAAGGGCCGGGCAAGACCGGUGCCAGCCGCCGCGGUAACACCGGCGGCCCGAGUGGUGACCGUUAUUAUUGGGUCUAAAGGGUCCGU